rnacentral:tRNA from 1 species
GAGGGUAUAGCUCAGUGGUAGAGUGUGUGCUUAGUGUGCACAAGGUCCUGGGUUCAAUCCCCAGUACGUUCA